GCCGCCUAGCUGAACUCAACCCGCGGGUAGGACGCAGCUCCGACCGGCUCAACCUCUUGUUGGUUUUAUACUGAGUCGACGUCAUCCUGGAUUUAGUUCCUGGUAAUAUGCAGAUGACAAACAGAACCAGAUUUGGUCCUUUUCUUUUCCUUUGGGUGGUGUGGAAUGGGGAGGUGGGGGUGGGCGGGGGGCGCUUGCAGGGGAGGGGGAGAGAUGCCAAGAGGAGGGGGGCCACAGGGCCUGAAAAAGAUUGUGGAUUGAGAAUUAAUGAAAUUAACCUAAUCUUUUCCAUUCGGCAGCCCCGGCGCGGCCCCGGCCUUGCUGGGCGGGCGGCCUAAUUGCCCAGGUUAAUCUUAUUAAUACUAUUGUCCUGCCGCCGUUAACAACUCCGCCGCCGACCUCUCCGCCCCGACCCUUUUCUCUCUAUUAUGGGGUGCGAUUUCCUAUGGUUGUAGCUCAAAUUCAUUGUGGCUAAUUUUACUUUAGGACUACUUUUUACUCUCUUUCGGAAUCUGUUUGCUUUUAAGAAAUGAGGGUGGCUGUGUCCUCCCUCAACUAAGACUGAAAGUGCCCCCCCCCCGCAGCCAACCCCCUACCCCGUGAACUCACUGCCUAAUUUCACUUCUCCACCCCCCCCUCCGUCUCUUUCCCAAAAUCUUUUGUUUUUGCGAAAGCCAAAUUUUCUCAGAGCAAAAACCAUGAAAGUAGAAACGCGUCCGCCUUCGUACAAGUUGUCUUUUUUCUUCUUCUUCUUCUUAAAGCGGUCACUCUGGGUCUGAAAACUACCCUGACUCUCCCUAGCUCCUAACACACCAGUGAAGAGCAAAUUCAGCCAGUCUUUAAAAUUCACCACCCAGAGGAGCGCUCUGAAGCGAUGCUUCCAGAGGCUUCCCGCGUGGGUGCCGAUAGGUUCUGUGUAUUUUUGAUUAUUAGUCUGGGAGAAGGGGUGCCUUCCCCCCCCCCAAAAAAAAUUUUUUUGGCUUUAAUUCUCGUGGGAUCUACCGGGACUGCCUGUCUCCUUUCUCAACAUAUUGAGUGGCGUCCCUCUCUCAAUCAGCGAGCUCUCCGAAAGGCCUCUAGCUGUCCUUCCAGGCCCGCGCUGGCCUCCGGGGGACCCCAGCGGCCUGGACAAAAGUCGGGCCACUGCGGGCGGCCGUGAUGAUUUGCGGGAUUCUCCGUGAGGCACGGCCGAACCGCGGGAGGCGCAGCCAGCCUAGAUCUGCGCGCUGGCGGCUGGGCGACCUGCGGGAAGGUAGGCGACCCUCUGGGCAGAACGAAAACAGAGGCCCAAAGUCGUGCGUCCCGGUGCCAGCCCGGGAAUUGCACCGCCAUCGCGCAGGCCACUCUCCAGCUACUCCAGGAGAGACCUGGGUAGAGGACUUCCAUACCAUUUGUGGAGAUUCCUCUCUCACUGAUAAGUCUGAGAUAACUUCAACGCUGUCUAAAGCCGUACAAUAAAUGCUAAGUCCUCCCUGGCACUGGAGGAGAUCCUGGGACCUCUCCUUAUUGCUCUUCCUGGGUUAGAGAAUCAUUGCGGUAAGUUUGGUCCCGCCUGGGCGCAGAACUAGGCAGUGCGUGGGAGCAGCCACCCGGAACUUAGGAAAGCGUGUACCUCCGUGCCCUCCAGCCCACCCACGCAUGGCCUAGGACACUUGAUUUGCUUACGUUGCAAAUUGGGGGUGGUGGUAAGGAUUGGAUAGAGACCGGCUUCAGUUGGGGAGGUGACAGUUUCUUGUUUUUGUUUUAAGAGAAACAAAGUCUUCUCGGGAACGCUUCAGAAAGGCCAAGCCCACCUAGAGAAGUGACCUUUUUCCAUUACAAUGACUUUACUGUCACCAGGUUCCAGGACACACCUGCUGCCCUCCAACAUUUUCCCACGUUCGGUUCUAAAGGGAGAUAAAUUGAUUGACAAGAACUGGAGGCUGCAGUGACUUCGCUGUGUUCGUUUGUGUUGGUGGUUGUGAGUGGAUAAGGCGCAUGCAGGGGCAGGUCUCUUAUAUGACCUUUACAGGGGUACAGGCAGAAACAGGAGAGCCUGGGGUAGAUUCCUGAACCCCUGAAACUUCUGAAAGGGGACUCAGAUCCAGACCCGACAGGUACUCAGCCUCAGAUUUGAAAGAGCAGUGGAAUUUUGAAAAGAAUAAAACAAACCCACGCCCACCCAUUCAUGUCUCUUUCAGCUUGGUACUUAGUGAUCAGUUUUAACAAGUCCGGGAUUUCGCUGCAGGGCUCGAUUUCCCGAAGCCCUGUAGCUAUAUCAGUGACCCUAGAAGGAAGAGGCUGUUCACCUGUAGUCAAGGGUGCCAGGGUUCAAGACCUAACAUUGCCACCUGGCAAACUACCCCUCCUUUGGAGGCCUCAGGAUUUUAAAUAAUCUAACCAAAUCCGAGAUUAAUUGAAUCCCUUAAAACCUUAGUAUUUAAUGAGUUUUUUUCUUUUCUUUUCACUGGGACAAAGGAGUGUGUUGGCCCCACCCCUGCCCAAAGGCAAAAGCAGGGUCUCUUCAGCUGGGUUCAAGAUAAAGAAAAAUCACUUGGCUCUUUUCCUUGAAAACAAGACUUUCCCAGAAAGAAGCUCCCGGACCCAAGCCUCACAACUACAUGGGUUUAACCGCUACACUCCGGGAGAGCUCACCCGUGGCGUGGCUGAGCCUUCCUGGUACAAUUGUCCCCUCAGCCCAAGGUUGUUCUACUUUGUCGGCUGGGAGGCGGACUCCGUGAAGGAAGUCAGGGGCCCAGCUCCCUCGCUGUGCUUUCUCUGAGGAAACCCUACAAGUGUCCCCAACGCACUAGGAACAAUCCAGAAUGGCCGGGCGCAAUUGAAAUAACAAAUGCGAGGCACGCAAAUUGUCCCCCUCCAGUUGCUAAGCGAUUGUUUGUCGCCCCGCAUGCCCAGCUCAGCAUGGGAGAACCAGCGAGUCCGGAGGCAGCCAGCGAGGCUUCGGUGAGAAAUAAGUAAACACGCAGUUGAUUUUCUCUAUUAUCACACAAACACGAUUUCACACAAAGCAAUCACCACGCAGAAGUCUAUGAAAAUGUGUUUGUUGGGGGACUCACUUGUCCCAGUAAUAGCCCUCAUUUUUAAGCUAUUAAAGACCAGAUCAGUGGAUUCCACGUGCAUAAGGUAUAUCUGCUGUUUGGGGUCUUUUGAAGACUCUGGUACCAUCAUCAUCUCCGAAUUGAUUCGGAGUGUUGAAUUCAAUUGCUUUUCUAAUUUAAAACCUAGAGCCCAAGUUUGGAGUGCUCAUCUGGCUAUCUUUCAGAGGGCUGUCUCCCCAUUAUCCUUAUAUCCCAGCCUCAUCGCUUUUCUCUUCCCUUGGGGAUGGGGGUGGGGUGGGGGCGGGGGACGGGUCAGAGGCCCCAACUCCUCAGGGUUUAUUUCUUAAACACUCAAUUUCUGGCCUGUACAUGGAGCAAUUUCUAAUUAGACAUUUUAGGUAGGGUUUUUAGGUACGUGGUUUAGGUAGGAGUUUUUUGAGCUAUGUGCAAAAAAAAAAAAAAAAAAAAAAAAAGCUGAUGCGUCCUUUUCAGAAGUAUGUGAGAUACUGUAAGAGAGACAUAGGAAUUAGGAAAAAUAGACGAACCCUCACGGGAACCAGAGCGUACUGAGACCUCCUACGGUUUUAACCAAGCAAAUUGGUUUUGCUGUUUGCAUUUUGGCUUUUUUUUUUUUCCAGUGUCUCAAAAACAGUUUCCUGUUUCUGCUGCUCCUUGGAGGAUGUCUCAGGAGCUCCGAGUGAUCUUCCUCCGGGAGUUUGGAACUGUGCCGCUGAGCAGAGAGCUCAGAACCACCUUAAUGUAGGGCACAGCCAGCAGAAUGUGGGGACUGCGGCUUCCGAUCCUUGGACAUUAGCUAGCUGAUUCUUUGUUAGAAAUUUUGCAAGUUCGAAAUAAAAUAACACUAAUCAAAGUGUUAGGAAAGUGCCCCAGAAUCCUGGGAGGGAAAAGGAUGUCCCCCUAAAUGACGCGUUUCCCAGGGCCUCGGGAAGAGAAAAUAACUUGGGCUUCCCGGUUUGCAGAGAGCAGCUGAGUUAUUUACCCAAAGCUCGUUUCAAAGUGACUCCGCAGCACCGAGGCUUUUGUAAAUCACAGAAUGCAAAUGAGGAUAAUUUGUUCUUAAAGGAACUUUCUCUUGAAAUGAUUAGCAAAGUCAGUCAUUUGAAAAAAAAAAAAAAAGCGGCCAGCACAGACCUUCCCGAAGCCCCUAGCUAACCCAUAUCAGCUUCUAACGUUUUCAUUCAUGUAAACCUCAUUAAUGAAGAUCUUUUAUUUAAACGUCAAGGGGAUUUGAAAUUUAGAGUAAAUUAUGAAGCUUGUAUGUCUAGCCAAGUCAUGGGUCAGAUGCGUUUGUGAAAAACUGCUAAAAGAGCAUAUGGUUUUGAAUUCUUCUACAAUGACUAGUGUUUAAAUAAAUUGCUUGUACUGCUUAA
rnacentral:lncRNA from 1 species